UACGUAGGGGGCAAGCGUUGUCCGGAAUCAUGGGCGUAAAGAGCGUGUAGGCGGCCCGAUAAGUCCGCUGUGAAAGUCCAGGGCUCAACCCUGGAAUGCCGGUGGAUACUGUCGGGCUCGAAUCCGGAAGAGGUGAGUGGAAUUCCUGGUGUAGCGGUGAAAUGCGCAGAUAUCAGGAGGAACACCGAUGGCGAAGGCAGGUCUCUGGGCCACUACUGACGCUGAGAAGCGAAAGCAUGGGGAGCGAACAGG
rnacentral:rRNA from 1 species